GGUCCCAUGGUCUAGUGGUUAGGACAUUAGACUCUGAAUCAAGUAACCCGAGUUCAAAUCUCGGUGGGACCU
rnacentral:tRNA from 1 species